AUUGGAAGUUUCUGCUGGAACUGUCCAUCAAUUCUGAUCUAAAAUAUAUUUAAUUUCUCUCCUAUCUCCUUUGGAUUUGACAGGUAUAUCCCUCAUUCAAGACAAAGCUAUCAGCUGUUCUCUAGUCGGAUGGAGAAAAUAGAGUUCUAUAUUUCAGUAAUAGCUCAAAAGUCCUAGAAAAACUUUUUUCAAACAAUUUUCUAUCAUGUAUCUUUUUUUCUAUCCCAGAAGACUCAAAAUGAAAUAACUCCUCUGAGAACAUUCUCUUGGCAUCAUCUUUGAGCAGCUAGAGACUAUAAUGAAAGCUUUUAAGACAUUGAGAGAGAAGUCAAGCAAUUUAAUUUCUUUCCAAAAUUACUAAAAAUGUCAUAAAAUAAUUAAAAUGCCUUUUUUUCAGUUGGACACUCCCCUUGUCUUGUGUGUUAGAUCAUCGGUUACAAAGAAUCAGAAUGUGUGAGGAUUAGAAACAAGUGAAUCCCUUUGAUUUAAUGUAGGCCCUUUUCUGAUCUCACUUAACAAGUAAAGACCAUAUUGACUCU
rnacentral:lncRNA from 1 species